rnacentral:rRNA from 1 species
AUUGAACGCUGGCGGCAGGCCUAACACAUGCAAGUCGAGCGGAUGAAGGGAGCCUGCUCCUGGAUUCAGCGGCGGACGGGUGAGUAAUGCCUAGGAAUCUGCCUGGUAGUGGGGGAUAACGUCCGGAAACGGGCGCUAAUACCGCAUACGUCCUGAGGGAGAAAGUGGGGGAUCUUCGGACCCCACGCUAUCAGAUGAGCCUAGGUCGGAUUAGCUAGUUGGUGGGGUAAAGGCCUACCAAGGCGACGAUCCGUAACUGGUCUGAGAGGAUGAUCAGUCACACUGGAACUGAGACACGGUCCAGACUCCUACGGGAGGCAGCAGUGGGGAAUAUUGGACAAUGGGCGAAGGCCUGAUCCAGCCAUGCCGCGUGUGUGAAGAAGGUCUUCGGAUUGUAAAGCACUUUAAGUUGGGAGGAAGGGCAGUAAGUUAAUACCUUGCUGUUUUGACGUUACCAACAGAAUAAGCACCGGCUAACUUCGU